rnacentral:misc_RNA from 1 species
AUUUGGAUAACAUUGUCUUAGACUUGAAGGUACAGCAAGCAAAGGAUAUACCUCUUGACAAGUUAUUUGCUAAAGAUCAGAUCGAACAACUCACAGCUGAGGCUUGGUGUUCAGAAAAUAAACAAUUGGUGGAAAUGGUCGAAAAGAUGAGCAUAAAAAUGGGUGUAAUGAGUGAGUAUACUCAGAUGGUUAUAUAUCAGAAUGCAGAUAAAGUCAAUGAAUCAAUUAAAGUGCAACAGUUGAAGAAAAAUGCUUAUGAGAAAAU